UUUGGACACAAUUUUCUGCAUAGUAUUUUGAGACAAUCAUCUUUUCAAAUAAAAGCAAAAGAUUUUCUUUCUCCCCCUGCAGCCUGGAAACCAUCCUUGUUACAAGUGACACAACGCAAUAACCCGGUACUUUGAAAGGUGGUCUGUAUUCUGCCACAGUGUAGUCCACUAAAGCAGGACAGAUUCCACACCAUGUGUGUAUGCGCUUUUCUGGGUCUGUUUGCUGCCAUGUCUGACUGCUCUGUUAUCUUCAAUAUGAUCUUACAACUAUAUGGAAGAUUGAGCUGUGGCUCCAAUGACUACAGUGAGCAUGGCUACUGUGAUUGUGGUCCUAUGGGGAACAUUUGCCAACAACUGAGCGACUCAGACCUGGCUGCAGAGCCAAGGUCCUCCAAUAGGCAUGUGGGCUGGAUGCCAGAGGAGACUUAGCUCAGGGACCUCACACAUUUCUCAUGGAAUGGAGAGCUUAUUUCAACCAACCACCUCAGCCCCGCUAACUGCUGACUUCCCACUUUCUCUAAAUGAGAAACGUGAAGGCAUGUUUGUAUGUUUUAGAUAGUUGUAAGCAUUUUUCAGUGGCUAACUUGCAAUUCGGUCCUUCCUUUGCGUUGGGUUGCUUCAUACCAAAUGCUGCUUUGAAUGUGCUGGAGCCUUACCUAGGUUAGUGUACAUUUAUUCACACAUUAUGAAAAAGAUUCAAUGUGAAGGAAAUGAAGGGACACAGUGUGGUCAUUAUACCGUUCAGAAUAAACACUGUGCGGCCAGUGUCUCAUUUUGUGCUAUUUGCUUCUGUGAAAUUAGCGAAUCCCUGGAGCAUAGCCUAUCAAUAUUAACAAUUAUUGAUUGUUUGUAUCAUUCUGUCUCUAGUUCAUAGCUAGCCACCCCUUGUAGUUUUUCUUAUUAUAGACUGAGGAAUUGAUUAAUGAAACAUAAAAUGUGGAAUCAGUUUGCAGCGACUUGAAACCAUAUCCGCCUAAGUAUGUCUUUGGACCUUGGUGAGGUGGACUGUCAAGUUGAACCAGGUUAGAUGUACUGCAGAUGCUCCUUAUGCAGGGUGUGGAGAGGCUUGGGUGAUAAGAGGCUCCAUUGCUGCAGGGUCAUUCGUCAUGUUUCUUGAUAAAGGCUAACAAUAGUG
rnacentral:lncRNA from 1 species